rfam:Fusobacterium sp. CAG:439 genomic scaffold, scf112
GGGGACGUUUUGGAUUUGACAGGAUGUUCGGUUGAGAUGGAUUGCGAGUGCGGGCGCUGUUCCCGCUUAUCAACGAGCAAACUAAAUUAAAUGCUAACAACGUAAUUAAAGCAGACUUCUCUAGAGCACAAGCUUUAGCAGCUUAGUCGCUAAUUAUAGCUACUCAUAGUACCCAGCUUGCCGGUUCUAUGGGUCCAUUAUGCAAGCGGCAGUGCAUUAAUGACGGUAGAUGCAUCAAGAUAACCGUUAAAGGUUAGUGUUUCCGGCAAAAACACUUUGAAUUAUUUACAAGGUUUUGAUAUUCCCUGAAUAGUUCGAGAAAAUUAAUAUCUACACUCGUAGAAAUUUAUCAAGAUCCAUUUUGGACAGGGGUUCGACUCCCCUCGUCUCCAGUU